rnacentral:tRNA from 1 species
GCCUGGGUGGCUCAGUCAGUUAAGCGUCUGACUUCAGCUCAGGUCAUGACCUCACGGUUCAUGGGUUCAAGCCCCGUGUCAGGCU